CUCGGGUCUAUCCCUCACUGAGGUCUCUGUGCCGCUAGCACAGGGACCUCCUACCCUCUCAAGGAGGUCACUACAAAUGACAACAGAAAAUCAGGACCCAGACCAGGACUGAGGUUUAAGGUUAUGUUUGGAAAAUGCUUCCUCUAUAGGGAGGUGGAUCAGUGGUCAAAACAUUCGCCAGGUGAGCCAAGAGGACUGAUGUUCAGGUCACCAGAACCCAUGUAAAUGCUGAGUGGGUAUGAGGGCCUUCCAGCCUUGGAAGACAGAGACGAGACUCCAGGAGCAAGCUGGCGAGGGAAACUAGUCAUAUUGAAAUUAAAGGGAGCUGAAAAAAUGGAGGAUUUCACACCAGCUGCCAGCAGCAUUUGAUGCCAAGGACAAACACUCACAGAUCUGUGUCCUCCAGGGAUAGAUAGAGACCAUUUCCAGGUAAAAGCGAGGAUCCCGCUAGAGGGGAGGCUGCCGUGUCUGGCUGGCUUCCAGUGGGAGAC